UACAGAGGGGGCAAGCGUUGUUCGGAAUUACUGGGCGUAAAGGGCGCGUAGGCGGCGCGGUAAGUCACUUGUGAAAUCCCACAGCUUAACUGUGGAACUGCUUGGUAUACUGCCAGUCUUGAGCCAGCUAGGGGCUACCGGAACAAAUGGUGGAGCGGUGAAAUGCGUAGAUAUCAUUUGGAACGCCAAUGGUGAAAACAGGUAGCUGGGGCUGUGCUGACGCUGAGACACGAAAGCCAGGGGAGCGAACGGG
rnacentral:rRNA from 1 species